AGAUGUGAGGACAAUCUGGCUGCAACAUCUGCCACCCCAAAGAUUGCCAGGGUUGAUUUAGCUGAUCUGGUUGGCUAGGGGGAUGUCCCCUUCCCUGACUACUCCAUGUGUGUACUUCCCUUCUGAAGAUGGGAAGAUGCACAUGCUGUCAGAAAAGAUGAAUUGACCUAAUGGAGGAGGACUGGUCUUUGAUCAAGGGUAUAUGAGUAGCUAUGCUCCCCAGCUGGAACCUUUAAACAGGCUCUCAGAACUAAGUGUGCAGUCCUUGGCCAUUGAGAUGUCCUGAGGCCAAGCUGUUU
ensembl:misc_RNA 7SK 7SK RNA